UACGUAGGGUGCGAGCGUUAAUCGAAUUACUGGGCGUAAAGCGUGCGCGAGGCGGUUUUGUAAGCCAGAUGUGAAAUCCCCGGGCUUAACCUGGGAAUGGCAUUUGGGACUGCAAGGCUCGAGUGCGGCAGAGGAGACUGGAAUUCCUGGUGUAGCAGUGAAAUGCGUAGAUAUCAGGAGGAACACCGAUGGCGAAGGCAGGUCUCUGGGCUGACACUGACGCUCAUGCACGAAAGCGUGGGGAGCAAACAGG
rnacentral:rRNA from 1 species